GGUGAACGCUGGCGGCAGGCCUAACACAUGCAAGUCGAACGGCAGCACAGUAAGAGCCUGCUCUUACGGGUGGCGAGUGGCGGACGGGUGAGGAGUACAUCGGAAUCUACUUUUUCGUGGGGGAGAACGUAGGGAGACUUACGCUAACACCUCACACGUCCUACUGGUGAAAGCAGGGGGUCUUCGGACAUUGCUCGCUUGAGCUAGCCGAUGUCGGAUUAGCUAGUUGGCGGGGUAAAGGCCCACCAAGGCGACGAUCCGUAGCUGGUCUGAGAGGAUGAUCAGCCACACUGGAACUGAGACACGGUCCAGACUCCUACGGGAGGCAGCAGUGGGGAAUAUUGGACAAUGGGCGCAAGCCUGAUCCAGCCAUACCGCGUGGGUGAAGAAGGCCUUCGGGUUGUAAAGCCCUUUUGUUGGGAAAGAAAAGCAGCAGGUUAAUACCCCGCUGUUCUGACGGUACCCAAAGAAUAAGCACCGGCUAACUUCGUG
rnacentral:rRNA from 1 species